GGAGAUUAAUAAAUCCUAUUUAUGGGAGUGACGACUCCAAACUUUCAUCUCUCAACCAUAAUUUUACCACCGACAACCCCAUUUUACUCAAUUAUUAUUUCUUCUCUCUUUCAUACUUCCAUACCCGCGCCUCUCUAUUUUACCAACAGAAUCAUACUCUGUCUCUACUCCCUAUAUAAAUUAAAAGAGACGCGCCUCAACUUUUUUUUCUUAAAGUUACAAAAAAGAGAGACAAAUAAUAAUAAUAAUGAAGUGAACAUGUAGUAGAUUUGUUACUUAACAUACAAGUUCCUUCCUUUCUCCAUUAUUAGUAGACCAUUUCCCACUUUUAUUAACUUUGCAUUUCAAUAGCGAGUCAUUGAGUGAGUGAGUCACUCACUGAGUUAGAAAGAUGAAAACUUUGAAGAAGAUUGUUUGUUAUUUUGUGUUAUUCUUCUUCUUCAUAAUCACAAGCAGUAAAGCUGAGAGCCCUUAUAGAUUUUACACAUGGAAUGUCACUUAUGGUGAUAUUUAUCCUCUUGGUGUUAAGCAACAGGGAAUUUUGAUAAAUGGGCAAUUUCCAGGACCACCAAUUGAGGCAGUUACCAAUGACAAUUUAAUUGUUAGUGUUUUUAAUAGUUUGGACGAACCAUUCCUCCUUUCUUGGAAUGGCAUACAACAGAGAAGAAACUCAUGGCAGGACGGUGUAUAUGGUACAAACUGUCCCAUUCCUCCAGGACAGAACUUCACAUAUGUCCUUCAAGUUAAAGAUCAAAUUGGUAGUUACUAUUACUUCCCAUCCCUUGCUUUCCACAAAGCCGCGGGUGGUUAUGGUGGCAUCAGAAUCGAUAGCCGACCCUUGAUACCUGUCCCCUACCCUACCCCUGCGGGAGACUUCACUGUUCUUGCUGGAGACUGGUAUAAAAUGAAUCACACAGAUCUAAAAGCGAUCUUAGAUGGUGGAAAAGAUUUACCUUCCCCUGAUGGACUUAUCAUCAAUGGCCGUGGACCAAGUGGAUUUACGUUUACAGUUGAUCAAGGAAAAACAUACAGGUUCAGGAUAUCUAAUGUUGGGAUAGCAACUUCAAUCAACUUUAGAAUUGACGGACACAAAUUCAUACUUGUAGAGACAGAGGGUGACCACACUCUCCAGAAUACCUAUUCUUCCCUUGAUGUUCAUUUGGGACAAUCAUACACCAUCCUAGUUACAAUGGAUCAACCUCCAAAGGAUUACUACGUCGUUGUUUCAUCCCGUUUCACCACUGACGUACUUACUACCACCUCCAUUCUCCACUAUAGUAACUCAGCAGCUAGUGUUUCAGGCCUUCCUCCUGGGGGGCCCACCACUCAGAUUGAUUGGUCUAUUAACCAGGCCAGAUCCGUCAGGCAAAAUUUGACAGCCAGUGGGCCAAGGCCUAAUCCUCAAGGCUCCUAUCAUUAUGGAAUGAUCAACACCACACGUACCAUCAGGCUAGCAAAUUCUGCUCCAGUAAUUAACGGGAAGCAGAGAUACGCAGUGAAUGGUGUAUCUUUCAUCCCAGCAGAUACACCAUUGAAACUUGCUGACUACUUCAAGAUAUCAGGUGUUUUCACUCUUGGAAGCAUUCCAGAUAAUCCUACUUCUGGUGGUGGCUAUCUGCAAACUUCCGUCAUGGCUGCUGACUACCGAGCAUUUGUUGAAGUCGUGUUUGAGAACCCUGAAGACUCAGUCCAGUCUUGGCACAUUGACGGCCAUGUUCUUUUUAUUGUAGGAAUGGAUGGAGGAGACUGGUCGCCUGCUAGCAGAUCGUCCUACAAUUUAAGAGAUGCGAUUUCAAGAUGCAGUGUGCAGGUCUACCCAAAGACAAUGUCGGAAUGUGGAAUAUAAGAUCUGAAAACUGGGCACGCCAGUAUCUGGGACAGCAAUUUUAUCUUCGAGUAUAUUCACCUGCUGAUUCUUGGAGGGAUGAAUAUCCAAUUCCAAGCAAUGCUCUUCUCUGUGGACAAGCUGUCGGACAUAAGAAGGGACUCGUCAAUUCCCAAAUGCGGCCAUAACUAUAACCAGGCUACAUCAAACUGGAUUAUAGAGAUGGAUUUGACUGGCGUGUUCACGGAAGAAACUUACCCAACAUCCCACCGCUUAAUUUAUCAGAGGCUUUGGCAGUUUAUUCAAUUCUACUAUCUCCUGUCAAACAUCAUUACUAGUUCAAAUUACUCUUUUAGGUUGAUAGCCUGAUAGUUAAUUGCAGACAGAGGGAGUAAAUCACGAGACGUGAUUUUCACUAUUUGAUGAUCACAACUUCUUUUUUUAUUUGCAGAAUGAUUUUUAAUGUGAUGAUUUAUUCCAGAAAGAGGGAGUAAGUCAAUAGCCAAGACAUGGAAGUAGAAAGUUGUGAAAUUACAGGCAACGCACUUAAGUAUUGUUCGAUACUACCAGUAAAGAAAUCAGACGGUUUUAAUAGUUGAAAGAUAGAAAGAAGUAUCAGUAUCAUCAUCCACAACUCUAUACUAUCCAUGAAGUUGGGUUUGGGCAACCCAGUACGGAGGAGGAGAGUUUGGUCCACAUACAAGCCCAGAGGAGUAGCUCCUCUAGCUUAUAUUGCAGUACUUUCUCUCCUCUUUUUCCAAUGUGAGACAACUCACAUGUGCACAACAACAGUACUCUCUUGUGAACGCGAUAUCCUUCAAUUUACAAGCACUGAAUACAUCUCCGCCACCAAUCACAUAUCAUAUGCUUCAUCAACAAAUUCUCCAUAUUCAGCUUGUCAUACGAUGGGUCAAGACAAUCUUGAACAGGCUACAAGAGUCUUGUUGAAUUCUGAGAUAGACACCUCCUCUUGAACACCUGCUGGAUUAAUCUUAUAAACAAGGAUCACAAGGAUUCCCACAAUGGACAGCCUUCCUUCCAAAGAUCCCGCAUACUGAAUUCUCAGCUAUACCUAGUUGGAGCUAUAUUUGAUCUUCUCCAUAUAUUAAUACUCCAUCCGUUUUUUUUAAUUGUUACAUUGUUGUAUGCACAACAAUAUAGCCAAUGUCAAUUUUAAUUUUUUGGUGGGUACUUGUUGACCUAUUUAGGGUCUGUUUGAUAGGGUGUAAAACAUUUUCUUGGAAAACUGUUUUUCUCUAUUUUUAAUUUUACAUUGUUUGA